ensembl:lncRNA
UCUCUGUAGGAGAACCGGGAAGCUGCUCUCUGUAGGAGAACCGGGAAGCUGCUCUCUGUAGGAGAACCGGGAAGCUGCUCCCUGAGGGAGAGCAACAGAGAGAGAUUACUGUAGCGCAGAAGAUACUAAUGUUCAUAUUGCUAUGACUCCCUAUUACUAUGACUCCAUAUUGCUAUGACCCCCUAUUGCUAUGACUCCAUAUUGCUAUGACCCCCUAUUACUAUGACUCCAUAUUGCUAUGACUCCAUAUUGCUAUGACCCCCUGUUACUAUGACCCCAUAUUGCUAUGACUCCAUAUUGCUAUGACUCCAUAUUGCUAUGACCCCUAUUACUAUGACUCCAUAUUGCUAUGACCCCUUAUUACUAUGACUCCAUAUUGCUAUGACCCCCUAUUGCUAUGACUCCAUAUUUCUAUGACCCCCUAUUGCUAUGACUCCCUAUUGCUAUGACCCCAUAUUGCUAUGACCCCAUAUUGCUAUGACCCCAUAUUGCUAAGACCCCAUAUUGCUAUGACUCCAUAUUGCUAAGACUCCAUAUUGCUAAGACUCCAUAUUGCUAAGACUCCAUAUUGCUAAGACUCCAUAUUGCUAUGACCCCCUAUUGCUAUGACUCCAUAUUGCUAUGACCCCCUAUUGCUAUGACUCCAUAUUGCUAUGACCCCCUAUUACUAUGACUCCAUAUUGCUAUGACCCCCUAUUACUAUGACUCCAUAUUGCUAUGACUCCAUACACCGUUAUUACAACCCAUUCAGAAUGAACUGGUCCUGCAAUGUGACGCGUACCGUUGGGAAGUGGACUGUCGUCUGAUGUUAGACACAACUGGAGCCCCUAUACAAUCCCUGAAAAAGGCGAUCCGUUGCUACAAAGUACUACUACUAUAUUUACUGUUAAGUAAUUCUACAGGUUAUUGUAAUGCUUUCACGGGGCCGUUUCACUAAAGCACCAGCCAUUCAUCUACAGGGUGAACCAAUUGGUCGGUUCUAUUCAGGUCAUCUGUGCCUUUUUAACCAUUGGUCAUUUUCCUACUCAGGUGUGAAGUGUAGAUCAGACAUUGACCUAAAGGCUACACUAGAAGGGAGUGCUUCUAGUGCUGACGUAGUAUUCUACUGCCUUAACACAUUUCGCAAGAGUCUAAACGAUAGUGUUGACAAUGCAACAAAAACUUUGGGAUCCAAUUUAGAAUGAAGAUAUUAGCUUCUAUUAGUCGCUUUGUAAUCCGACUCGAUUCACAGCCAGCGCCUACUAAUGUCUGUUCUGUUUCACUUCCUUCCUCUUCGCUUCUUUUCUUCACUAAUUUGAGGUGUUCAGACUGACACAUGAGCCGAGAUGAGCUGUUAUUAAUCUCUCUCUUUUUUGUGAUUAUACUUUAACCCACUGGGUGUUGCCUCCGCAAUUUCAAAGUAUCUCUGCACAAACGACUUCGGCUUUAACAAUCUAAUUCCUUAGUUUCCACAAACAAGCGAGUAAAGCGCGUAACAUUUAGACUUUCGCCGCUGUCUGAAAUGAACAAGUCUUCCCUGUCUGAUGAUCAUGGGUGCGUUUCUGUGACACUUCACUUUAGACAAGCAAUAAAGAAAAAAAUAGAUAUCAAUGGGAGUUUGUCAAUCCCAACUUUGGCAUAUUUCCAUCUGGAGCUUUAAGAUGGAAAGAAGAAAUACUUGUUGGGUCUUCUAACCUUUCUUAUAUAUUUAUGUAGUUAAUUGUAAAUUGAAAUUAAAUUUUAAAAACAAUUCUCUGUGCCCCCCAAAAAUUGCCACAACUGUAAUCUGCCUUUUAGCAACGGGUGUCUUUAUGCUGUCUGAAGUGUAAGUGUUGCCUUUAUUUUUCUGUUGACUCGUUUCCCCAGUUGAGCUGAUGACAAGAAUAUGAAGUGGCAAGUUAUUUGUCUGGUGUUGCAAUGCAUUACAAACCCUGCCUGCAAGAUUGCAUCUAGAAAUAAUAAGUGCCUUUUUGUGAGAGAUUUUGGAAAAUGUAUAUAUUGUGCCAAUUACUAGUAUCUCUCACUUGCCAUUUUUGUUGAGCACUAAACAAUGAAAUUCCUUAGCUAUUCCUGCACACUGUAGAUGGAUCGGGUUUUUUUUUUUUUGCUAAACUGGAAUAUUUGUAAAAAAUAUAUAUUUUGGUUUAAAAAAAAUGUCAAGCCUUCCAUUUGUCGUAUGUAAUUGGACCACAUUAUGCAUAUAAUAGCUGUUUAGGGAAGCAGUCCUAUGUGGUUUGAAUGAAUAUCUUGUGUUAGUCCUGAACUGUGUUACCUUACCACUGUAUUGUCAACAAGUAUAUUUCUGAAAACAUUCCUCAAACGUAAGCCACAUUAUGACAGCUGGUUAACCCAUUAACGUGGUCUCAAUGACGUAGCACUCAGAUUUAAAGCGUAAUGAUACCAACAAUUGGAAUAAUGAUUGAAACCCCAUUGGAUUUGUUUUUAAACGUUUAUCUUUUGUUUGUCAACGAUGUGUGUUGAAAAAAAUAAUAAUUAAAAACGUUUCUCAGUGAUCUGCUAUAGAAGUUCCUGAUGCAUGUAGGGGUGCACUACAUCUGAGAAUUGUUGUGGAGUUGUAAGGUUUUAUGUUAUGUUGUUUUGUUUUUAUAGAGGACUAGAAUAGGAUUUUGAGUAGGAUAUAAAACGAUGUAUUGUCAAUUAUGUUGCUCACACCAAAAAAGGAAAAUGUCAUGUACAAUAAAGAACCACAUUUACAAGUGGCCUGUUG